ACGAACGCUGGCGGCAUGCCUAACACAUGCAAGUCGCACGAGACCUUCGGGUCUAGUGGCGCACGGGUGCGUAACGCGUGGGAACCUGCCCUUAGGUUCGGAAUAACUCCCCGAAAGGGGUGCUAAUACCGGAUAAUGUCUUCGGACCAAAGAUUUAUCGCCUUUGGAUGGGCCCGCGUUGGAUUAGCUAGUUGGUAGGGUAAAAGCCUACCAAGGCGACGAUCCAUAGCUGGUCUGAGAGGAUGAUCAGCCACACUGGGACUGAGACACGGCCCAGACUCCUACGGGAGGCAGCAGUGGGGAAUAUUGGAAAAUGGGCGAAAGCCUGAUCCAGCAAUGCCGCGUGAGUGAUGAAGGCCUUAGGGUUGUAAAGCUCUUUUACCCGGGAUGAUAAUGACAGUACCGGGAGAAUAAGCUCCGGCUAACUCCGUG
rnacentral:rRNA from 1 species